rnacentral:lncRNA from 1 species
CCCCCCCCCCCCCCCCCCCCCCCCCCCCCCCCCCCCCCCCCCCCCCCCCCCCCCCCCCCCCCCCCCCCCCCCCCCCCCCCCCCCCAGUGGAACUGGGAGCUCUGGGAAUCCUGCUGCUCUCUCAGUGGAACUGGGAGCUCUGGGAAUCCUGCUGCUCUCUCAGUGGAACUGGGAGCUCUGGGAAUCCUGCUGCUCUCUCAGUGGAACUGGGAGCUCUGGGAAUCCUGCUGCUCUCUCAGUGGAACUGGGAGCUCUGGGAAUCCUGCUGCUCUCUCAGUGGAACUGGGAGCUCUGGGAAUCCUGCUGCUCUCUCAGUGGAACUGGGAGCUCUGGGAAUCCUGCUGCUCUCUCAGUGGAACUGGGAGCUCUGGGAAUCCUGCUGCUCUCUCAGUGGAACUGGGAGCUCUGGGAAUCCUGCUGCUCUCUCAGUGGAACUGGGAGCUCUGGGAAUCCUGCUGCUCUCUCAGUGGAACUGGGAGCUCUGGGAAUCCUGCUGCUCUCUCAGUGGAACUGGGAGCUCUGGGAAUCCUGCUGCUCUCUCAGUGGAACUGGGAGCUCUGGGAAUCCUGCUGCUCUCUCAGUGGAACUGGGAGCUCUGGGAAUCCUGCUGCUCUCUCAGUGGAACUGGGAGCUCUGGGAAUCCUGCUGCUCUCUCAGUGGAACUGGGAGCUCUGGGAAUCCUGCUGCUCUCUCAGUGGAACUGGGAGCUCUGGGAAUCCUGCUGCUCUCUCAGUGGAACUGGGAGCUCUGGGAAUCCUGCUGCUCUCUCAGUGGAACUGGGAGCUCUGGGAAUCCUGCUGCUCUCUCAGUGGAACUGGGAGCUCUGGGAAUCCUGCUGCUCUCUCAGUGGAACUGGGAGCUCUGGGAAUCCUGCUGCUCUCUCAGUGGAACUGGGAGCUCUGGGAAUCCUGCUGCUCUCUCAGUGGAACUGGGAGCUCUGGGAAUCCUGCUGCUCUCUCAGUGGAACUGGGAGCUCUGGGAAUCCUGCUGCUCUCUCAGUGGAACUGGGAGCUCUGGGAAUCCUGCUGCUCUCUCAGUGGAACUGGGAGCUCUGGGAGUCCUGCUGCUCUCUCAGUGGAACUGGGAGCUCUGGGAAUCCUGCUGUUCUCCCCCGGUGGAACUGGGAGCCCUGGGAAUAGUGCAGUAGGAGGAAUGGCUUCCCAGUGCUUCCCAGUGCUUCCCAGCCUCCCAGCCCUGGGCACUCCGGCAGUGCUGGGCAGGAUGGGUGCAGGUUUGGGGGGGCUGCACCCACCUCACCUCCAGCACAGCUCAGUUAACCUGGAACCUGCUUUUUGGGGGGCUGUUGCAGCAUCAUCAUGGCUUUUUAUGAGGGAGAGAGACAGAAAUGAGCUGUGGGGGAGGUUUGCCAGCAGGGCAGAGCCCAAGGUUGGGCUGAAACCUCAGCAUGCAGCAGGACCCCAGCCCAGGGGCUGUGUGGCUUGGGGUGGGUUGCACAGGUGCCCUGUGUUUUGGGGCAGAGGGGAGGCUGCAGGUGUGGUUGGCUGCCCUUUCCCACUCCCUCACACUCACGUGCCAGAAGAAGCUGCAAAGCUCAGCAGUUUUUUAGUCCCCAGAGGUCAGAGUCUUCUGAGGCCACAGAAUCUGCAGUCCAGGGCUCCAGCUGCUCGUGCACCCCUGUGUUGUUGGGGCUCAGAACCUUUCACAAGACCCAAAAUAGACGUGGGAGCAGCUGUGGGUGUUGUGUGGAGUUGCUGCUGGGCUUGUGUGUCCCCUGUGCUUAAUUCCCUGGGGAAAAUCUUACUCUUAAUGAGCCAUGUGGGUGGCUUGUGA